rnacentral:lncRNA from 1 species
CUCCACCAUGUGCUCCCCACCAUGAUGUUCUGCCUCACAAAAGGCCCAAAAAGAUGGGGUCAAGUGACCUUGUACUGAAAAUUCUGAAACCAUGAACCAAAUAAAUCUUUUCUUCUUUAAAUGAUUUUCUCAGGUAUUUUGUCACAGUGACAAAAAUAUGAUUAACAACUAAUUUUUUAGCAUCAACAAGGCCCCAGGUGCACAAGUAACUUUGAGUUGUUGAAUUUGUAUUCUUUGUCUAGAAUACCAGCAAGGUACCUUUUAUUAAAACAUCCUACAAAAAAAAAAAAAAAAUUAGGUACCAUUAUGACAAGGUUCAUCCAUAAAAAAAGAAGAUAUAUUUCUGUUUGAUUUACAAAAUAUACCUCACUCACAAUUGAAUAGUCAGUAUUCAAUUUUGAGGUAAAGUAAAAUUAGUUUAAUAGGUUUAAAAUUUUAAAAGUAUAUGAUUGAUAUUAAUGUUCUUGGAAAUUCUGAUGCUACAGGGCUUGGCACACAUAAUUGUGCUGAUGUUAAUUUGUAGAUGUAACUACACACUUUACAUUCAACUAGUUAUUCAGUGCCCUCAUGCUGGUUAAAUUAAUUACACCUUUACACCACAAUUAUAGGCAUAUUUUCUUAUUUUUGGCUCCCUGACAUCUGUUUGUAUCCCUCCCAGCUUAAUGAUUAUUCAUGCCAAGAUAUGAGUACUACACAGAGUCAGUCUUGGAGAAAGGAGGGAAUCUGCCCCUGAGGAAUGGAUUUAUGUCAUUAUUUCGUUUAAUAUGUGUACACCAUUUAGUGAGUUCGCAGAUGACUUAACCCUCUCUCAGCAGUGUGCCUGUUGAAGUGCAGAGUUGGAGACAUUGGUUUCCAUUGUUUUAUGCCCGUAGUUUUGAGUGCAGGAAUUGAACGGGAUACAUUUCUUUUUCUAGUUUGUCUUUUGGUGCUGUAGGGAUUGAACUCAGGUCCUUGUGCAUGCUAAGCACAUAUUCUAUCAGUGAACUACCCACCAUUCCAGGCCCAGUAGGCUGUUUGAAAGCUAUCCCCUACCAUGUCAAGCAUGGCUCAUAUAUUUUGUGUCUACUAUACAAACCCAACAAAACUUUAAAUCAUGUGCUGCAAAAGAUGCUAGACAAAAGAAUUGUUUUGGAAUAUUUAUUGACCCAUCACUUAUGUGCUGGCUAUCACUUCUGGUUGUAUUUGGGUAAAUGCUUCCGAUUUUCUUUUACAUGACUUAGUUCAGCCAAAUGAGAAGCUGAUCGAAGAAUUCUAUACAAAUAUUAGUUAUGUUAUUUUUGUCCUUGCCCCUAAUUGUUACUGCUGACAAAUAUGUCAUUAUAACAGGGUAUUAAUACUUUGGCAAAGAUGCCAACCCAUUAGUAGAAACCGCAGAGGAUUCUGUAGCAAAAGGAAAUUGAGGUGACUCUAAUAAAAUCCAAUAAAUUCUAGAGACAGAUAUUGAAAACAGUCUGGUGGUGGAGAACUAAGAACUGAGAAUUUGGUUGUUACUUGUAGAAAUAUUUGCUUUCAUUUUAGGAAAAGACCAAAAGAAGAGACAAUAAAAGGAAAAUACUUCCUCUACAGCAUCACUUGCUUAGAGGUUAAUAAAACAAUGCUAUCUCCCUUCAUCUGUACCUGUUAAGAACUGUGAGCUUUGGGCUGGGGAUGUGGCUCAAGCGGUAGCGUGCUCGCCUGGCAUGCGUGUGGCCCGGGUUCGAUCCUCAGUACCACAUACAAACAAAGAUGUUGUGUCCGCCGAAAAAAUAAAUAUUAAAAAAUUCUCUCUCUCUCUCUCUCUCUCUCUCUCUCUCUCUCUCUCUCUCUCUCUCCCCCUCCUUCCCUCCCUCCCUCUCUCUUAAAAAAAAAAAAAAAAGAACUGUGAGCUUUGGAUGACCCUAAUAAGCAAAACUUUGGGGGUUCUAGCUGAAGAAUUUUCCUAGCCUCUGAUAAAUGGAACAUCUUACUCUUGUAGAAACAAUUCUAUGGAUUCGUUUGAUCUACCCAGUGGGCUAGCUUUCAAUCCUUAAUGAACACACAGCCAUAAUGAAAUGUUCCACUUCUAGCAUUUUAAAAUACCCCAAUGAACAAUUCAAGAAACCUUUUCAGUGAUGUGUGU